AGCAUGGGUCAGUCGAAGCUGAUAGCUGCGGUACUGGUAGCUUUUUUCCUUCUGGGUCACUUUACAGCAGCCUGGUCCCCUCAUCCCUGUGAAGGAGAGGAGGAGAGUUUGAAGAGGAAGAUAAUAGAGAGGUCAAGAAGAAGAGUUCUGUCACCGCCUCCUGCCCCUGCCAGAAAUCGAGCCUCUUCACAGAGUGCCCCGGCUCCUCCUCCUUCGCCUCAUCUCUGACUAUGAUAUCUCUACUCUACCUACCUACUAUCUAUUUUUCAAACAUUAAAUAAAUGUGUCUUGUACUUGUC